rnacentral:tRNA from 2 species
GGUGGGGUACCCAAGCGGCCAAAGGGAGCAGACUGUAAAUCUGCCGUCACUGACUUCGAAGGUUCGAAUCCUUCUCCCACCA